rnacentral:rRNA from 1 species
GAUGAACGCUGGCGGCGUGCCUAAUACAUGCAAGUCGAGCGAACAGACGAGGAGCUUUCUCCUCUGACGUUAGCGGCGGACGGGUGAGUAACACGUGGAUAACCUCCCUAUACGACUGGGAUAACUUCGGGAAACCGGAGCUACUACCGGAUAAUAUAUUGAACCGCAUGGUUCAAUAGUGAAAGACGGUUUUGCUGUCACUUAUAGAUGGAUCCGCGCCGCAUUAGCUAGUUGGUCAGGUAACGGCUUACCAAGGCGACGAUGCGUAGCCGACCUGAGAGGGUGAUAGGCGACACGGGAAGUGAGACACGGUCCAGACUCCUACGGGAGGGAGCAGUAGGGAAUCUUACGCAAUGGGAGAAAGCCUGACGGAGCAACGCCGCGUGAGUGAUGAAGGUCUUCGGAUCGGAAAACUCUGUUAUUAGGGAAGAACAAAUGUGUAAGUAACUAUGCACGUCUUGACGGUACCUAAUCAGAAAGCCACGGCUAACUACGUG